AGUGAACGCUGGCGGUAGGCCUAACACAUGCAAGUCGAACGGCAGCACAGGAGAGCUUGCUCUCUGGGUGGCGAGUGGCGGACGGGUGAGGAAUACAUCGGAAUCUACUCUGUCGUGGGGGAGAACGUAGGGAAACUUACGCUAAUACCGCAUACGACCUACGGGUGAAAGCAGGGGACCUUCGGGCCUUGCGCGAUUGAAUGAGCCGAUGUCGGAUUAGCUAGUUGGCGGGGUAAAGGCCCACCAAGGCGACGAUCCGUAGCUGGUCUGAGAGGAUGAUCAGCCACACUGGAACUGAGACACGGUCCAGACUCCUACGGGAGGCAGCAGUGGGGAAUAUUGGACAAUGGGCGCAAGCCUGAUCCAGCCAUACCGCGUGGGUGAAGAAGGCCUUCGGGUUGUAAAGCCCUUUUGUUGGGAGAGAAAUCCAGCUGGCUAAUACCCGGUUGGGAUGACGGUACCCAAAGAAUAAGCACCGGCUAACUUCGUGCCAGCAGCCGCCGUAA
rnacentral:rRNA from 1 species